GAUGAACGCUGGCGGCGUGCCUAACACAUGCAAGUCGAGCGGACGGACGAAAAGUUUGCUUGGCUGAUGUGAGGGGCGGGCGUGUGAGUCACACGUGUAUACCCUACCGAAAAGACUGAUAUAACUUGGGGAAAGCGGAUCUAACACCGGAUAAGAGUGUGAACGGCGGGGUUCUAAAGAGAUAUACCGUCUUGCUGUGACUUAGAGGCAUAUCCGCGUUGGAGUAGCGAGUUGGUAAGGUAAAGGCUUACCGAGGCGACGAUGCAUAGCCGACCUGAGAGGGUGAUCGGGCACACUGGAACUGAGACACGGUCCAGAGUCCUACGGGAGGCAGCAGUGGGGAAUGUUGGGCAAUGGGCGAAAGCCUGACGGAGCGACGCCGCGUGAGUGAAGAAGGUCUUCGGAUCGUAAAACGCUGUUAGUAGGGAAGAACAUAUGUGUAAGUAACUGUGCAUAUUUUGACGGUACCUAGAGAAAAAGCACCGGCUAACUACGUG
rnacentral:rRNA from 1 species